CUUGAAAGGAUUGUACAUGUAAGUACUUUGUUGUGCAGCUCUUUCCUGACCUCUUGUAGAGAUCUCCAGUUCGUCCUCGCCAUCUUCAUGCUUUCAAGAGUGUAUUCAUACUAUUUAUUAUCAUUCAUUCUUUGCUCAUUCCUACUUUUACCCCACAGGCAGUGAGUUUACAUGCACAGCUGAAUCGUACUGAGCUCAAAAUAAGUUUUUUUCGCCGAAUCGGACUUCUCUCCUUGUCCGCGUAAACAUGCAGCUGAGAAAAUCGAAUUAUUGACGCGAACGUGUCCUCCUCCCCCAAACUAGGGGGCGAUAUGGGUCUUUUCAGUGGUGAUACAUACUGAUACUUCAUACUCCGACUACGCUGGUUACAUGGUAGAGAAAAUCGAAUUCCAAUUGCAUUAUCUGGAUGUCUUAAGUAAAAUUGGAGGCCUGAAACAAGAUGGCUACAUCUACGAAAGUUAUUUUAGUGCUUGCCUUAUAUUCGGACAAGGCAAGCGCUAAAAUAACUUUCAUAGAUGUAGCCAUCUUGUUUCAGGCCUCUGAUUUUGCUUUUUUCCGACUUAGUAACUGAAACGCCAGGAACUUGGGUGUGACGUCAUUUUCAGCUCAGACUUCUGACUUCUGAGGUAACUCUACGCAGCAAUAAUCAGAGUUCUCCGACUCAAAUCGGAGUUCUCAAACUCUCAUUAUAGUCGAUCUAAGGUGUUUACAUGCACUUUAGUUGUCCGGUCUUAAUCAGAAUAAGGCAAUAAUUUGGUUUCCUAGAGUGUCAUGUAAAUGUACUGAGUGUCCAGCUCUCUAACAGCAGCUGUGCUCUGAGAAGUAAAAGAGGGGAAAGUAAAGAAAGAUCAUCAUGUUAUUUCAUAAACUUGAUUUAUAAAUGUCAGUGACUUAUUGAUGUUUCACAAAAAAGUGACUGCAAGGUUUUGUGUCCUUACCGACUUUGUUCUGCUCUCAUGAAAUAACAAACUGCUGCUAUGCAAUGACUAAAUAGAUACAGGUAGCUAAAGCUCACUUCAGUCCAUGAUUUUAAUGCAACAAUAAAAUGUAAAAACUGACCUGCUCUGUUAGAAGGUCAGACAUUUUUUAAUCACAUUACUCUGCAGGGAAAACAAGGUUGUCAAAAACUAACCCAUGAAUAUAUGCGUCAUUCUGCUUUUAUAAAGGCAUCAUCUGCUGCGAAUACUUAAUAUUCACCAAGUAUCCUCAUGUAAUCCUGCGCAGCUCAGGAGCGAGGAGGGUGUAAAGUGAAGCGAAGGCUGAAAACACUGAAGCAAUUACUGUCAGGAUCCUGCAGGGAACAAGAAGGACAACCGCAUCAGUAUGCAGGUAUACAGGUCUGACAUUAGCCCAUUAGGCUGCUAAACUGGAGAGUCUGUGUUUGUAUAAUAAGCAAUCUAUGAGUUAUCAUUGAUGGAGGAGACAAUAGAUAAAUACAAUGAAAUGCUGCUCUGUGCUCUUUGUGGAGGACACUGCCGCUCACCUACUGGUGAGUUUUUUCUCAUUUCAAUCCACUCCACAGAUAUCAGGAGUCAGGUGUUUUACCUGAGGCUUCAGGAAGCUCAUUUUUAGGACAACAUUUUAUCGUCUUUAAAGGGUCUAAUCAUGUGGAGGACGACUCAAACAUCAACAAUGUCCAUGUUUAUAUAGACAAAAUUUCUUGAUUAAAAUGUAAGCAAUGCAAAAACAAAUAAUCCAAUCAUGACGUGUGUAUACAUAUGUCGUUGUCAUUGUUUUCUUCUGCUUAUCCAUUCUGGCCCUCGCCCGGCCACUUCCACCAGCUCCUUCGGGGGGAUUCCCAGGCGCUCCCAGGCCAAGCAAGAGAUAUAAUCCCUCCACCUGGUCCUGGGCCAGCCACGAGGUCUCCUCCCGGUGAGACGUGUCUGGAAAACCUCUAACAGGAGGCGUCAAGAAGGCGUCCUAACCAGAUGCCCGAGCCACCUCAGCUGACUCCUCUCGACAUGGAGGAGCAGCGGUUCUCCUCUGAGCGCCUCCCGAGUGUCGGAGCUCCUUACCCUAUCUCUAA